UUUCACUCAAGAGUUUUUAAAACUUCCAGAUUGAAGGGUCUUUUUAGUUUUUACUUUAAAAUUCUAGUUUUAUUUCAUUUAGAACCUUGAUGUUUAACACACGGAUUUGUUUAACCUGUUUUUGAUCUUUAUCUAAACAAAAUACUGCUACAUCCUCUUUUGGAACUUCAAAGCAUUUCUCUUUUCAGAAAAGCCAAUAUAUUCUCAAAGUAUCAAGCACUUGUGACCUAAAAUUGGAGAUGUUUCUACCAUAAUUUUAACAAUUCUAGAAGUUACUGAGAUUAAGCCAGACAGAGUAGACAUAUCACCAUCAAAACUAGAUCUGAGAUACAAAAUCCCAGUCAAAGGGUUGGGAGAUUUAAAAGACAUGUAUAAACUAUCUUCCCAAAUGUGCCUUUUCUGUCAUUAGCAAGCUGGAAGCAAACUAACAGAAAAUGAGAGCGUAAUGCUACUUUUUCCAGGUGUUACUCCAACAUGUUUUACUUUUCAACAUCACAAAGAACAUAUUCAGAGUAUUUCACAUUAAAUACUCUACCAUUGCCUUCACAACAUGAGUGAAUCAUUACCAGAAAACUAGGUUUUUGUACCAUCUAGUGGUAUGGCAAAAUAUAGCUGACAUGUAAAUAUUUUUUAAGUUAAUAAUUCUUUAAGAGAAUCCUUCAGGGCUCAGGUCAUUGUGGAUUGUUUCACAUAUAGAUUAUAGGUGCAAAGAAAUGGUCAGCUCCCUUACUCUUCGCUAUAACCAUGAGCUCUGUGUCUUGAUUCCUCACCUUGACAUAGAUUCAGGUCUGAAAUUUGAAGAUUCUAGAUCUUCAUUUAUUACAAGGGUAAGGGCAAGCAAUAAACUUAGACUGUUAAAAUGAAGAAAAUAACAUGCUUAUCACCCCUCUUUCUCAUAUUUCUCUUUCUUGGACAUUGUUUAAAAGUUCCCAGAAAUCUCUAAUAUAUUUUGUUUUUAAUUUUAAAUUGAGGUAACAAACACAUAACAUAAAAUUUGCCAUCUUGGCUCGUCCGAAGGUAGUGGGUUAUCUCAAUUGAUUGUUCACAAUUGCAGAUCGAACUCCUUGUUCUACUUCCACCCAUCCCUUCUCACUACUGCACUUGACUAGUCUUUAAAAAAAAAAUCAUGCCUGUAAUUCCAUCACUAUGGGAAGCCGAGGUGGAGGUUCACUUGAGUCCAGGAAUUUGAGACCAGUCUGGGCAACAUAGUGAGACCCCAUCUCUACAGAAAACUAAAAAAUUAGCCAGAUGUGGUAACCCAUGCCUGUAGUCUCAGCAGCUCAGGAGGCUGAGGCAGGAGGAUGGCUUGAGCCCAGGGGUUCAAGGCUGUAGUAAGCCAUGAUCACAUCACAGCACUCUAGCCUGGGUGACAGAGAAGACCCUGUUCCUAAAAAAAAAAAUAAAAAAAAUACAUUUUACAAUCUUAACUAUUUUUAAGUGUCAAGUUAAGUAGUGUUAAGGAUAUUCACAUUAUUAUGCAACACAGACCUCCAGAACGUUUUCAUCUUGCAAAACUGAAACUCUAUAUUUAUUAAACAGCAGCUCCUCAUUUUCCUUUCCCUACUCUGAUGGUUAUAUCAAGGGAUCACUCACAGACAUUCCUAUACGGGUCAGUAUUUUUACCCAAAGCAGUAAUUACCACAAAAAUAAACAGCUCUGUCUUUUUCCCUGCCCACCACCUCAGGGACAAAAAAAUGAUUUUGAAAUAGCAAUGCUUUUAUCUUUUGUUAACUAAAAUCUCCGAGUUGAGUUUAUUUUUGUAACCAUCAUUGCUCACAAGGCUUAGGAGCAGAAGUUUUGAGAUCCUCAAAUACAGGAUUCUGUAAUCUGUGAAAUUUAAAAAUUGAUUUUUUUAAGAUUGCAGGAUUAUAUCAAGGGGAUUCAAGGCCCCCCAGGGGAAAAUUGCAGAGAUAUCCCAUCAAGCCAAUGGGGAGAACACUUUUCUCAGAAAAGGAAGAGCUGGGCCAGGCACAGUGGCUCAUGUCUGUAAUCCCAACAUUUUGGGAGGCAGAGGCAGGAGGAUUGCUUGAGCCCAGGAGUUCUAGACGAGCCUGUGCAAUAUAGUGAAACCUUGUCUCUACAAAAAAUUUUUUAAAAAAUAGCCAAGCAUGGUAGCAUGCACCUGUAGUACCAGCUACUUGGGAGGCUGAGGCAGGAGGAUCGCUUGAGCCCAGGAGAUUGAGG
rnacentral:lncRNA from 10 species